GGAGAAGGGGCGAGGAGUGGGCGGGCGGCUGAAGGUACGGGGGUGUCCGCGGUGGAGUUGUGUGAAGUGACCGUUGCGUGAUUUUGAGUCUGUGACAGAAGGAAUCAGUUGAAUGAUGAAGAUCCUUAGUCUGAUCCACUCCAGGAGAGAUCUCAGCUCAUUCCCAUCUGUUGCCAUUUGGAAUAUUAAAUAGUUUGUGAAGGAUAGAAACUAAAUCUGUGCAAGAACAUAUAGAGUCAGAAUGGCCACGCUCCUACACCUUCCUCCUCCCCACUCAGUUCUUCCCCAAGUCAUUCUUCAAUUCCAAGGCCAAGGUAAGCUAACAGUGGAAUAUAAGUAUGGACUAUUUUUCUGUCUGUCCUGAAUGCCAGCACUUUAGGAGUAGUUAAAAUGUGAUUCAGUAACAUGAGAAUAUUAGAAAACCUGGUUGUAGGCUACAGUGUCAUAUACUAAAUAAUAUCCUUGGUGUUACCCUAGAGAAUACCCAGUCUUCAUGAGUUAAAUACAUCUCUACUGUACCUACUGUGAAAUACUGGACGCUGAGUUGCCCAUGUGGGAAGCAGCUGAAUUAUAAAUCACCACCUACAAUUUAGAGGGAAUAUAGAUAGAUCUGAUGCUUGCUU